GAUGAACGCUAGCGGCAGGCCUAACACAUGCAAGUCGUACGGUAACAGGGAAAAGCUUGCUUUUCCGCUGACGAGUGGCGCACGGGUGCGCAACGCGUAUAGAACCUACCCUGUACAGGG
rnacentral:rRNA from 1 species